AACGCACCUUGCGCUCCUUGGUAUUCCGAGGAGCAUGCCUGUUUGAGUGUCAUUAAAUUCUCAACCUCUCUAGUUUUUAUUAACUAGUAGAUGGCUUGGACUUGGAGGUUGCAGGCUUUCACAAGUCAGCUCCUCUUAAAUGUAUUAGCCGGUGCCCUUCUAACCGUCUAUUGGUGUGAUAAUUAUCUACGCCGUGGAUUACUGGAGGUUGCAUUGCUUCUAAUCGUCUUUGGACAAUAUUAAUGACCAUUUGACCUCAAAUCAGGUAGGACUACCCGCUGAACUUAA
rnacentral:misc_RNA from 1 species